GACGAACGCUGGCGGCGCGCUUAACACAUGCAAGUCGAGCGAGAACCGGCCUUCGGGCCGGGGAAAGCGGCGAACGGGUGAGUAACACGUGGGUAAUCUGCCCUCGGCACCGGGAUAGCCCGGGGAAACCCGGAUUAAUACCGGAUGGCCCUUUGAGUCCUCGGAUUCAAAGGAAAAGGUAGCUUCGGCCUCCGGCCGAGGAUGAGCCCGCGGCGGAUUAGCUUGUUGGGGGGGUAACGGCCUACCAAGGCGACGAUCCGUAGCUGGUCUGAGAGGACGAUCAGCCACCCUGGGACUGAGACACGGCCCAGACUCCUACGGGAGGCAGCAGUGGGGAAUCUUGCGCAAUGGGCGAAAGCCUGACGCAGCGACGCCGCGUGAGGGAAGAAGGCCUUCGGGUUGUAAACCUCUUUCAGGAGGGACGAAGCCACUCGGGUUAAUAGCCCAGAGGGUGACGGUACCUCCAGAAGAAGCCCCGGCUAACUACGUGCCAGCAGCCGCAGUAAAAC
rnacentral:rRNA from 1 species